rnacentral:rRNA from 1 species
ACGAGUUUGAUCCUGGCUCAGAAUGAACGUUGGCGGCGUGGAUUAGGCAUGCAAGUCGAGCGAGAAUUUGCGAUUGGAAGCUUCGGCCGAAGAAAGUGAAGGAAAGCGGCAAACGGCGUAGUAAGGCGUAGGUACGUACCCUCGGGUCGGGAAUAGCCAUGGGAAACUGUGGGUAAUGCCCGAUAAUCUCUGCGGAGCAAAGGUGUGAUUCCGCCGGAGGAGCGGCUUACGUGAUAUUAGCUAGUUGGUGGGGUAAUGGCCUACCAAGGCAACGAUGUCUAGGGGGUGUGAGAGCAUGGCCCCCACGACCGGAACUGAGACACUGUCCGGACACCUACGGGUGGCUGCAGUCGAGGAAUCUUCCGCAAUGGGCGAAAGCCUGACGGAGCGACGCCGCGUGGUGGAUGAAGGCCCUUGGGUUGUAAACACCUGUCAGAGGGGAUGAAAUCAUGGUUGGCAAUCCUUCCAUGUUGACAGAGCCUCAGAGGAAGCACGGGCUAAGUACGUG